rnacentral:rRNA from 1 species
GAUGAACGCUGGCGGCGUGCCUAACACAUGCAAGUCGAGCGAUUCUCUUCGGAGAAGAGCGGCGGACGGGUGAGUAACGCGUGGGUAACCUGCCCUGUACACACGGAUAACAUACCGAAAGGUAUGCUGAUACGAGAUAAUAUGCUUUUAUCGCAUGGUAGAAGUAUCAUAGCUCUGGCGGUAUAGGAUGGACCCGCGUCUGAUUAGCUAGUUGGUAAGGUAACGGCUUACCAAGGCGACGAUCAGUAGCCGACCUGAGAGGGUGAUCGGCCACAUUGGAACUGAGACACGGUCCAAAUUCCUACGGGAGGCAGCAGUGGGGAAUAUUGCACAAUGGGCGAAAGCCUGAUGCAGCAACGCCGCGUGAGCGAUGAAGGCCUUCGGGUCGUAAAGCUCUGUCCUCAAGGAAGAUAAUGACGGUACUUGAGGAGGAAGCCCCGGCUAACUACGUGCCAGCCGCCGCCGUAACAC